rnacentral:rRNA from 1 species
UAACAACUCUCAGCAACGGAUAUCUCGGCUCUUGCAUCGAUGAAGAACGCAGCGAAAUGCGAUAAAUGGUGUGAAUUGCAGAAUCCCGUGAACCAUCGAGUCUUUGAACGCAAGUUGCGCCCGAGGCCANCAGGCCAAGGGCACGCCUGCCUGGGCAUUGCGA